CCUACGGGCGGCAGCAGUGGGGAAUAUUGGACAAUGGGGGGAACCCUGAUCCAGCCAUGCCGCGUGUAUGAAGAAGGCCCUCGGGUUGUAAAGCACUUUCAGUGAGGAAGAACGCCUGGUGGUUAAUACCCAUCAGGAAAGACAUCACUCACAGAAGAAGCACCGGCUAACUCCGUGCCAGCAGCCGCGGUAAUACGGAGGGUGCGAGCGUUAAUCGGAAUUACUGGGCGUAAAGCGCGCGUAGGUGGCUUGAUAAGCCGGUUGUGAAAGCCCCGGGCUCAACCUGGGAACGGCAUCCGGAACUGUCAAGCUAGAGUGCAGGAGAGGAAGGUAGAAUUCCCGGUGUAGCGGUGAAAUGCGUAGAGAUCGGGAGGAAUACCAGUGGCGAAGGCGGCCUUCUGGACUGACACUGACACUGAGGUGCGAAAGCGUGGGUAGCAAACAGGAUUAGAUACCCCAGUAGUC
rnacentral:rRNA from 1 species